rnacentral:misc_RNA from 1 species
AACCAUAGAAACCUGCGGAGUACCUGCGGAAGGAUCAUUACCGAGUGUGGCCCCAUUUUUAAAACAAAUAGGGGUACCUCCCGUCCUUUGCAGGGCCCUUUGGGGCUUUUUGAACUUUGCUUCGGCGGGUUUUAUCCCGCCGGAACACCCUCAAGAAAAUCUUUUUAAAAAUACUGUCGUCUGAGCAUUUACAAAAUAAAACAAAACUUUUAACAAUGGAUCUCAGAUCGGAAGAGCACA